rnacentral:tRNA from 1 species
GGGGUUGUGGCUCAGUGGUAGAGUGCUUGCCUAGCAUGUAUGAGGCACUGGGUUCGAUUCUCAGCACCA